rnacentral:rRNA from 1 species
AAACAUCUCUUUUUGAAUAUAAUUUAAAGUAUAAYYUGCUCAAUGAUUUAAUUAAAUAGCUGCAGUAUUUUAACUGUACUAAGGUAGCAAAAUCAAUAGUUUUUUAAUUGGAAACUGGAAUGAAGGAUUGAAUGAAAUAAUAAUUGUCUCAAAUUUAAUAAUAUUAGAAUUUUUUUUUCAGUAAAAAAACUGAAUUGAUUUUAAAAGACGAGAAGACCCUAUAGAUUUUUAUAAUUUAAUUAAAUAAUAAUAAUAAUAUAAUAUUAAAUUAGUUAAAUAAAUUAUUUAAUUGGGGUAAUUUUUAAAUUUAAAUAAUUUUAAAAUUUUUAAAACAAUAAUUAUUGAAUAUUAGAUCUUAAUUAUAGAUAAUUAGAAUAAAAUACCUUAGGGAUAACAGCGUAAUAUUUUUAGAGAGAUCAUAUUAAUAAAAAUGUUUGCGACCUCGAUGUUGAAUUAAAAUAAAAUUAUAAUGAAGAAGUUAUAAAUUUUUGGUCUGUUCGACCAUUAAAAUUUUACGUGAUCUGAGUUCAGACCGGA